AGAAAAUUGUACAGAGUGACUUAUAAACCCUAUCUUUCCAGUGACCUCAUGGAUAAUAGUGUGGGGCUCUCAGGCUCUAGUCCUGGAAGUAUUGUGACUGGGAGCCAUAAGCCAUUAGAGAAGAGGACACCUCCUUGGCCUGUGACCACAACAUAGUCAAGAGCAGCAACAGGCCUGAGGCUAGCAAGGCUAUUACAAGCAAAGUGGCAGAGCAUGGCAUGCUUGGAUCUGGUACACACUCUCAGACAGAGUGAGAGGUCAGCUCUCCUUCUGGCUUUCCAUAACAAGAAACUGCAAGGCUGUCUCCCAUCUACCUGAUGGCUGCCCUGACUUUUCCUUGUCACUUCUCUUCUGGAAACCAAAGAUGGCUGUUGCUAUACUUUCUGCAGUGUCUCAAGUGCCCAGAACAGUCCAGGCUGCCUGGAGGGGCUGGGACGGAUCUCAGAGUCUUCGAAGUCCCUUUGUGUCUCCCUGUCCCCAGGAGGAGCUGUGGUUCCAUCUUGCUGGGCCUGGAGACCCCUCAGAGCCAGCAAACAGAAGAAAGUAGAGUCAUGCCGAAUCAUCUUCAUAGAACCACAUCCCCCACCUAUGAUCAAAGGCCUGAGGCCAGGCUGGACAGGGAACUCCUGAUCUGCAGCAGGGUGUCUUUUUCCUGAGCAGUGGCUGCCCCCAUGAGGGCAAAGGCAGCAGCUGUGUGAGGGAAGCUCAUGGGCGAGGCAUCGCCACAUCAAGAGAGCCCUGCUGGCAACUGACCAAGGAAGAGGUUCCUGGGAACAAGGAAGCCUGGAGUGCUGGGUAGGACCC
rnacentral:lncRNA from 1 species